UCUCUCUCUCUCUCUCUCUCUCCAACAUAGAGAACCCACACACCGACAGUGCGGUCUUAACACUGUCGAUCACUUUACCAAAAUUUAUAAUUACUUUGCUCUCUCGAAACGAGAUUGAAGGCUGAAUCUUCUCAGAGACGUCGUGCAUGUUUGGCCUCUGUAACCUCGCUCACCUUGGAUUGCUUCAUCUUCUCCUCUAUAUCUAUAUGUAGCCUUCAAGGAGGAGAUCAAGGAAUUCGAGAUCCGAUACGCUCUACCGGGGGUUUCGACAUCGAUCAAUCAUCAGAUGUUGUUGGGGCUUCGAUUCGGUGCAUUCGACACCCUUCUCUGACUUCUUGUUGUUGGACUGCGCAAGACGCGUCGCCUUAAACGAGCUCUCAUCUCAAGACUGUGAGAAUUUCACCUUAAUUUUUAUUUUAUUUUUAAAUUCUUCUAGCUUCUUCGAAUUUCUCCAUAAAUCUCAUUUAUCAAUGCUCAAAUAUGUGUAUGGAUCCAUGAACGAUUUAUGCAUGUUUGAUUAAUUUAUGCUUCUGCAUAUCUCAUGCUAUCUAAUUUACUGUGCUGACCCCAUGUCAUGAAUAUCACUAUAGCAUCAGCACAUACAUUAUCUAAAGUGGCGAAGAUAAGGGCCAAACUUGAAAGUAACUUUGUUUUCCCAACUUGUCAAUUAUAAAAUGUCUCUCUUUUGGAUAUUGGAGUUCAGUGGUUGUAAUAAUUUGUUUAUGUUGCAACUACGUACUGGAGAAAACAAUCAAAGAGAAGAUAAUACUUAAAGAAGUAGUCCCACCAUGCUGCAACUAGUGGAGAAAACAAUCAAAGAGAAGAUAAGCAAUUGCCUUCUUUUGAAGGUACGAAUAUUCAGACGCAUGAAAGAGGUUGCGAUUUAGCUGAGGCUUUGGUUCAAGACAAAUUUUAAGCUUUGCAAAAUUUGGUUUGAUAUGGGCGAAAUAUGGGAGAAUGAGUUAGGUCUGCAGCCUUGGUCAGGUUACAUCGUAUGAUGCUUGAAGAUUUGCCGAAUGGUAUUAUGGAUGAGGUACUGUGAGCACGUUGCCAUUUGCUUUGAAAGAGUUUGUCCAUAUCAAAGAAGGGUUGCAGUUGUGGAGAAUAAAUUUUGUUGUCUCUGGAUGUAAUGAAUUAUUUUUAGUUCGCGAAUUUGUUGUAUGAUGCAUUUUUUAAUAUAGUAUACGGU